rnacentral:rRNA from 1 species
CAUGCAAGUCGAGCGGAAAGGCCCUUCGGGGUACUCGAGCGGCGAACGGGUGAGCAACACGUGGGCAACCUGCCCCUCGCUCUGGGAUAACUCCGGGAAACCGGGGCUAAUACCGGAUACGACCUCGGACGACAUCUUCUGAGGUGGAAAGUUUUUCGGCGAGGGAUGGGCCCGCGGCCUAUCAGCUUGUUGGUGGGGUGAUGGCCUACCAAGGCUUCGACGGGUAGCCGGCCUGAGAGGGCGUCCGGCCACACUGGGACUGAGACACGGCCCAGACUCCUACGGGAGGCAGCAGUGGGGAAUAUUGCGCAAUGGGCGGAAGCCUGACGCAGCGACGCCGCGUGGGGGAUGACGGCCUUCGGGUUGUAAACCUCUUUCAGCAGGGACGAAGCGCAAGUGACGGUACCUGCAGAAGAAGCACCGGCCAACUACGUGCCAGCAGCCGCGGUAAUACGUAGGGUGCGAGCGUUGUCCGGAAUUAUUGGGCGUAAAGGGCUCGUAGGCGGUCUGUCGCGUCGGGAGUGAAAACUCAGGGCUUAACCCUGAGCCUGCUUCCGAUACGGGCAGACUAGAGGUAUGCAGGGGAGAACGGAAUUCCUGGUGUAGCGGUGGAAUGCGCAGAUAUCAGGAGGAACACCGGUGGCGAAGGCGGUUCUCUGGGCAUUACCUGACGCUGAGGAGCGAAAGUGUGGGGAGCGAACAGGAUUAGAUACCCUGGUAGUCCACACCGUAAACGUUGGGCGCUAGGUGUGGGACUCAUUCCACGAGUUCCGUGCCGCAGCUAACGCAUUAAGCGCCCCGCCUG